ensembl:lncRNA
UCUCCCUCUCUUGGGUUUCACUAUCUGAUCCAAGUUAUCACAGUCUUUUGUCUUACCUUGCUUUUCUUUUUCUAGUCUGCUCUCUUGCUUUUCUCUCUGUUCGUCUCUCCCUUCCUCUGUCACCUUUUAUGUUGUUCAGAAUGGCCUUGGACUUGCUAGCCAAGCCAAACAGAGUAAUCUCUCUCCCUUGGUGAUUACGCCACUUUGGCUUGGUGGGAAUGAAUCGAAGGGAGCUUUAUCGGCAUUGUAUAACAUCAGCACUUUCUCCCCGGCCCAGCAGCUAAGAUAAUUGAAGGUGGUUCUUCAGGAAGUGCCUGAAAGAGUCCCCUUGUCUAGGCUGGGUAGGGUGGGAGCACGCCAGCUGGGGGCUGGGCUCUGAGAGCAGGAAACCCUGCUCAGCAUGCUGAGGGAGAAUGGAAUGUUUAUAAAGAGCACGCUUGGAACUUCCAGGAUGAGGGUGUGAACUGCUGCCGUUCUUGCUCCCUCUUUCUAAUCGCCGGCUCAGCUGAGGUGGAGGACAGGGAAGCUGUGACUCGGCCGUGUCACUCUGGCACCAUGUUAGCUGAUGCUGCAGCGGGGACAACCCACUUCCAGGAUAGGCUGAACAGGGAGAAGACUGAGACUCAGCACAUGCAAGCAACAUUCAGCCAUCAGGAAAUACUCCUUUCACCCAGACUGAUGAGCAAGGAUGCCAAGGCACUGAAGCUGACUCUGUUUUACAACGAGGGCUGUUUCUGUGCCAUACUGGUUUGCUCAUGAGCUGCUCAGUAGU